UGAAAUAGCUCUAUGGUGGUAUAAAACACAUGUUAUUGUAUACUUUACUUGCUAACUUCUUGCUUAUCAGCCCUUUAUAUUUUGACCCUUGAAAAUAGAAAGACAUGAUUUAGGGUCAGCGCUGGAGCCAUUUCUCAGACUCAUGGUGGCUCUGAGUGGUCCUUGCUGAUUCCUAGCCUGAUAUUUUACAUGUAUAAAUUCCUUGUUGUCCAUAUAGUUAUUUUGUUGUUGAUACUUUGUAUUCUGUGCUCCUCACUAUUAAUUUAUAAAAAGGUGAUUAUCGAUUUUU
rnacentral:misc_RNA from 1 species